CAGCAGCCACGGUAAUACGUAGGUGGCAAGCGUCGUCCGGAAUUAUUGGGCGUAAAGGGCUCGCAGGCGGUUUCUUAAGUCUGAUGUGAAAGCCCCCGGCUCAACCGGGGAGGGUCAUUGGAAACUGGGAAACUUGAGUGCAGAAGAGGAGAGUGGAAUUCCACGUGUAGCGGUGAAAUGCGUAGAGAUGUGGAGGAACACUAGUGGCGAAGGCGACUCUCUGGUCUGUAACUGACGCUGAGGAGCGAAAGCGUGGGGAGCGAACAGGAUUAGAUACCCGUGUAGUCCCUGUCUCUUAUAA
rnacentral:rRNA from 1 species